UUUCUACUACCUCCGAUCCUAAAUUCUUGUCUCAAAUUUGCCCAAAUAUGGAUGUAUCUAUUCUUAAAAAAUGUCUAGAUACAUGUAAUAUUUCGACAACAAUUUAGGAUCGGAGGGAGUAAUUC
rfam:Brachypodium distachyon strain Bd21 chromosome 4, whole genome shotgun sequence.